CCUACGGGAGGCAGCAGUGGGGAAUCUUGCACAAUGGAGGAAACUCUGAUGCAGCGAUGCCGCGUGAGUGAAGAAGGCCCUUGGGUUGUAAAGCUCUUUCGUCGGGGAAGAAAAUGACUGUACCCGAAUAAGAAGGUCCGGCUAACUUCGUGCCAGCAGCCGCGGUAAUACGAAGGGACCUAGCGUAGUUCGGAAUUACUGGGCUUAAAGAGUUCGUAGGUGGUUGAAAAAGUUGGUGGUGAAAUCCCAGAGCUUAACUCUGGAACUGCCAUCAAAACUUUUCAGCUAGAGUAUGAUAGAGGAAAGCAGAAUUUCUAGUGUAGAGGUGAAAUUCGUAGAUAUUAGAAAGAAUACCAAUUGCGAAGGCAGCUUUCUGGAUCAUUACUGACACUGAGGAACGAAAGCAUGGGUAGCGAAGAGGAUUAGAUACCCUCGUAGUCCAUGCCGUAAACGAUGUGUGUUAGACGUUGGAAAUUUAUUUUCAGUGUCGCAGGGAAACCGAUAAACACACCGCCUGGGGAGUACGACCGCAAGGUUAAAACUCAAAUGAAUUGACGGA
rnacentral:rRNA from 1 species